UACGUAGGGGGCAAGCGUUGUCCGGAAUCAUUGGGCGUAAAGCGCGUGUAGGCGGUUCAGUAAGUCUGCUGUGAAAGUCCAGGGCUCAACCCUGGGAUGCCGGUAGAUACUGCUGGACUAGAGUGCGGAAGAGGCGAGUGGAAUUCCCGGUGUAGCGGUGAAAUGCGCAGAUAUCGGGAGGAACACCAAUUGCGAAGGCAGCUCGCUGGGACGUUACUGACGCUGAGACGCGAAAGCGUGGGGAGCAAACAGG
rnacentral:rRNA from 1 species